CAAUAAAGGCACAGUUACUAGUGGAUUUCAUCAUCAAAUGCAUGAUCCCUGAAAAGAAGCAAAGCUCAGAUAUUCACAAGUCAGAGAUUGAUGUAGGAGACAACUGAUGGAUACUGCAUAUGAAUGGAGCUUUGAAUUCCCAAGGGAGAGAUGUAGGUCUGAUCAUUACCAAUCCUAAUGGAAUCAUUUUCAAGUAUGCGUUGAGGUUCAACUUCAACACGAUAAACAAUAUGACUGAAUACGAAGUCCUCAUUGUAGGAUUG
rnacentral:lncRNA from 1 species